UGCGAAACAGAUGUAUUUUUAAUGCAGAUGUGUUAGGUACUGUCAUCCCUCUAAUGUCCUCGACAAAGACAAUCCUGUGAGGGUGAAUUGUUGGCCUCUCCUGUUUUCCCUGCAGUUAAAAAAGAACUAUGGCCUCAACCUCUCUUGUCAGGGAACAGUGUGGAAAACUGUGAUGCAGGAGUCAAUGGGAGCAUGGCAGAACAGCCAAUUAUGUGGCAAGAUCUAUGGGAAGAAUGAUUGAGAUAUAUGCCAGAGACCCUUAUGCUGCAAAAAAAAAACACAUGCAGAGGCUGAUGGAGUACAUUGCUGAAAUCAAGCAUUCAAAAUGGGAAGUCUCUUUGAAGACAAUUAAAAACAUGUAGUAAGUGACUAAUGGGGGAGAGGGGCGAUUCUUCUCCUAUUUCUUCCUUUGAAUUUCUGAUAAAAUAAUAUUCCUUUCUAGCUCUAAAGAAAAGACUGGAGAAGUAGAAACUAAUAACAUUUGAAUUAAAUAUACGCCUUUUAUGAUUUUUAUUCUGUUUUUCUAUGAUGUACUUCAGUUUGUCAUUGGAUCCCUUAUCUCAAUUAUCUAAUACUGGCACCUAUUGGUAGUUCAUAAUCACUGCAUGUUCAUCUGCAUUUGUUCUUAAAUCAGGAACUUAAAGGUUUUAUAUGUUAAUUACUUCUCCCCCACCCCUCUUCAUUAGGAAAGUACCUUCUGUUAACUAUUUACAUUGUUUAAAUGGACGUUGUUUGAGAGAAUACGAUGAGUGUAAAAGUGUUUUUGAGCAGUCCUAAAAAGCACUUGAAACCAUGUCAACGUUAAUUUAUUUCCUCUCAAAGGAAACUACAGUUAAAAAGUUGUUUAGCUGAUUUAUGCUUGUAGUCAGAAUAUCUGCAUAGUACACUAAUCAGCUCAGUGUGAUGGGCCAGAAAUCAAAUGAUGAAAACCACAAUUUUUCAAAGGAAACACAGACAUACUCUCAUCUAAAUCUUAGCAAGCUUGUCAGCUAUAAAUAGAUACUGUACCAAAAGAUAACAGAUGAUUAUCCUUUAAAUGAUAAUUAACUAGAAAAGAAAUGUUAAGAAAUAGAAACUAACGAAAGUGCAGCAUGUGUUUAUGGGUUACCUUUAUAUUUUUGGAUGCAAUUCACACUGGAAAAAUUUGCAACCAUAUUCUAAUCAAAUAGUUAGAACAGCAAGAACUCAAUUACACUGGCAAUUUGUUUUGGCAGUUGGGUCUGCAAGCAAGGCCAUCCAGUACCUUUGAAAGUCUGCCCUGAAUGUAUAGUCACUCUGAACCAACUGAGUACCUAACUCAGGGGCACUCUCAGAUUAAAAUCCUAAUUCCCUCUAAUGACUUUUCUAAUUAGUAGUUCAGAGCAUUAAGAUUUAGAGAAAUUUAAUCUCCUGUUUACUUUUCAUUCUUUUGCACUUCUUGUUUCUCUUUUGUUUCAGAGCAGAAUUCCCUGUUUUCCCUCUAUUUUUAUCCACUCUCAAGAGGACCGUUGUUGCAGCAACCUUCAUACCCACAAAAACAGUCUGCACAGUGCAGAUCCUGUCAAGCCCACUUCUGUAAAGUAUUCUCCUCCCAAGGGGCAGGAUCUGCCGCCUCUGUAAUAGUCUCAGCACCCACAUUAGUUGGCUUGGGAUGAAACUUGGUCCUGAACUCCGUUGCUUCCAGCAGGCAAUCUCUCUGUGGACCUAAUCCAGUGAAGUCAAUGGGAGUCUUUCUAUCAUUGUCAAUGGGCUUUCGAUCAGGCUGCAUGGUGUGAUACAAGUAGGGUGACCAGAUGGCAAGUGUGAAAAAUUGGGAUCGGGGUGAGGGGUAAUAGGCACUUAUACAAGACAUAGCCCCAAAUAUCGGGACUGUCCCUAUAAAACUGGGACAUCUGGUCACCCCAAAUACAACAGCCUGUUGUCUAGAUUUAAUAAGAUUUGUGCCCUUUGGAUAGGUAUGGAGCUAACCACAGCAGGUAGAUAAUAUUUAGAACAGACUCACAAAUGCUUUUGCAUCUUUUUCUGGCCUCAUACUUCUAGUUAUUUAUGCAUAUUUGGAUGACUGCCAGGUAUGCAAGAGAUUGCUGAAUAUCCUGAAAGUUUCAUGAAUGUGUGCUAUAGCUGCACUAGUUGUUUGUCAUUUCCCAUUAGUUAUUCUCCUUUUUUUAAAAAAAAGAAUCAGUUACGCAGAAACAAAACCAUGGGAAUGAGUAGCUAAUCUCCCAGAUCAAGCAUCAUCACAUAGUUAGAACAGUCCACAACAGUCAUUAUCACUAUUUUUAUAAUGAACAUCAUUAAUAAUUUCAGAUAGUGUGUGUAUCAUUGAGACACAAGACUAGUUUGAGAAUGAUUCACAAAGCAAUUGCCACCUCUCUCCCCAAAUGUGGCAUCUGAAUAUUAUUUGACCAGCUCUGGCAAUAACUGAGUGCAAGUAGUGGGCAUUUUAACUGUAUCUUCCUUCACUCAGAGCUCAGCAAGGAUGCCUCAAGCACACCUCCUUAUAAUAUUGUGGUCAUGAUUUCAUUUCACAUCAUAAACUGCCAUCAACACAGCCUUGUCAUUGCAAUUUGUCACAUACACUAGCGUGAGCACUCUGUAUCUUACUGAAAAUUUUAUCUCACCAGUCACAAUCACAGACUACUAGUUUAAAGCAAAGCUCUCAGAUAUUAUGGGAAGAUGAAAUCACAAAAGAUAAACAUUAAUAGACACAGCCACCACCGUGGACCCACACACUCCUAGCCUUUGCAGGUUCUGUAAAAAGUCAAAUUUAGAUAGGCUAAUAGCCAGGUUUCCCUAAACACACCUGGAAAAACUCAUUUACAAUACAUUUCUGAACCCUUCACACAUUUUGGCCCAACACAAAAUUCUGUUUAUUCGGUCUCCUCCCAUCACCUCCCUCCCUCCCCACCCCGACACUUGCGCAGUUAGGGAAGAAUCUUUGGCUACGUCUACACUACGGGGGGGAUCGAUUUCAGAUACGCAAAUUCAGCUACGAGAAUAGCCUAGCUGAAUUCGACGUAUCUGAUCUGACUUACCGUGCUGUGAGAACGGCAGCAAAUCGACCGUGGCUCCCGCGUCG